UUAACACUUAGUGAUUAUAUUAGCGAUGUACAAUAACUUCUCACUUUGGAUUCUUUUUGAUGUAUUAUGGAGGUAAAAAUCAAUAUUUUCUACCAAACUGGAGAAAUUUAGAUGAUCUAUUUUUGAGAUAUAGGUUCAGAGAAAAAUUGAUGAUAAAGACUGGAAUAACUCUAGUUCCCCCAAGUCAACAUCUGAUUGGCCCUUAGAAUCAGAAUUUAGGAAGAGAGAGGUUUGGGAGACCACGCAGUCCUGCUUCCUCACUUCGCAGAUACGGAAACCAGGCCUAGCUGGAAUUUCCCCAGAUCACACAGCCAGGAAACAGCAGGCUCAAAACUAGGGCCUUCUGAGUCCCCAGUGCAGCAUGCAUAUGUGUCUGCCUUGUUUCAUUAUGUAAUGGUACAGCGAGUUUGGAGGCAUACAAAAACAGACAGACACCAAUCUUGCCUUCAAGGCGUUUACAAUUUAGCAGGGGAGAUAACACAUGUAUAUAAAAAACUUACUAGACAAAGUAAACAGCAGUAUGCUCUAUAAGACAGGUAUGGAUUAAAAAGGAAUCUUUAAGUCAUUGAACCCUGAGAUUCUUUUUUUUUCAUUUUUUAAAACAAUAGUAAUCAAACUUGUGAAAUAGUGAACUUCCUCCAUUUUGCAAGAUUCCUCGAAACCAAGUACUUGGAAUAUAACUUAGUUAAGGAUUGCACAACACACACCAUUUGAGUAUCUGAUUUGGAAAACUAAGCCACAGAGCCAGACCACACAAUGCACACUGGUUGGAAUCUGCUGGGCAGGUAUCUCCCCGUCUGUCCAGGCAAGCCAAAUCAAAUAAGGCCCUGAGUUAAAAAGGAAGGAAAAGUAACAGAUAAAUCUGUUGACCACCACUCUAGGAGGCCAAGGCCUCUUUCCUCCCCAUUAGUGGUGGCUUGCUCUAAGAUAAAAAUACCACACUUAAGCUGUGAUAGAGGAAAGCCCGUGGUUUGGGACCCAACUACAAAGUAACAGCAAAAGAGAGAUUAUUACUCCCUAGUGACUCUCUUUUUGGUAUAAUUAGAAGAAUAGAAAGACCACUGAAGAGUGGGAUUUGUGAGAAAUAUGGGUCAUGUGUCUGCAGCACUAGUUGCUUGCAGAAUUGGCUAUGUGGGUUGGCACACAGCACCGUGAAUAUUAGAAACCACAAAUCUCCAGGGUUUCUUGAACAAAGUAAAAGGCCUUGUCUUCAGAUUGCCAGGUUGGAGGCUGGCUUGUGGAAGAAGCCCCUGGGUGAGCUCCAAAGCUACCUACGCAUUUCUGCCUUCUCCGUCUCUUUCUUCUCCUCCUCCUCUCCCUCUCCCCAUCCCUCUCCUCUUAUUUUGGAUAUUGCAUCUUGGUGGGUCUAACUGUAGCUUUGCUUAUGCCAAUACCCCCCUGCCCCACCCCCUGGGGAAGCAGGCCCUCUCCAUGACAACUGCCGACGCAGAAUCCACAGAGCUCUGGACAAUGGGACAAACCAUAUUUCUAUGAACAAAGCCAAGGUAAGUGGAUUCCUUUGCCCCUGGAGGACUAAAGGAGUUACUCCCCAGUCAGAUUAUGCUGUAAUUGAGGGUCCAGAAAAGGAAUGAACUUCCCUGUGUAGACAACAGAGCCAGUUCUUAAAAAGCUAUGCCAGCGUGCAGACCCUUUAGAAUCUCCUCCUUGGGAGCCUGAAAUGGAAACAAAGUACUUCCCUGUGUUCACCUGUCCAAUCGUUGACUCCUCUGCAGAAUUAUUCUCUUGGGUUGUAAGUAAGCUAAGUCUUCUAUAAGGCAUACUUCAAGAAAAAAAGGAAAACAUAAAAUGAGUUUAUAAAAUCCUAAGGAUUAACUAUACCUUGGACACAGAUAAAUUGCCACGUUUAUCACUGCACUUCCCUUUAUCUCCUCCUGAGAUGCUCUCUCGGUUCCUCCUUCACUGCUCUUCAGGUUCUGGAAUAUUUCUUAGCCAACACUUCAUCCACGGUGACUUCCAGGACCCCCAGUGAGGGGUGGGGAUUCCUAUGUUGUCUCUUUUCUUGGCCUCUCCAUCCAAAAUAUUUAGAUGGUGCAUUCGUGGCCUUUCUCUCUCUCUACCACUGCCUCCUCCAAAAAAAGGAAAAGCGGGGAGUGGCGGGUGGAAGGAGAUUACAUUUUUCUUUCUUUUUUUCUUUUUUUUUUGGAGAUGGAGUCUUGCUCUGUUGUCCAGGCUGGAGUGCAGUGGCGUGAUCUCGGAUCACUGCAGCCUCUGCCUCCUGGGUUCCAGUGAUUCUCCUGCCUCAGCCUCCUGAGUAGGUGGGAUCACAGGUGUGCACCAUCACGCCCAGCUAGUUUCAUCAUGUUGGCCAGGCUGGUCUCAAACUCCUGACCUCAAGUGAUCCGCCCACCUCAGCCUCUGAAAGUGCUGGGAUUACAGGCAUGAGCCACUGUGCCUGGCCCAUUUUCUUCUCUUAUCCUUGGUGCUUUCCAUAUAGUAGGAGGUCAGGGAGAUCAAGGGGAUUCCUGGAUGCAUAAAUAAAAUCUGCAUUUCUUAGGAAUCUGAUGGACAAGAGAAUCCAGAAUCUCUGCAAUGGGCAGAAGAGAGGACCAGACUUCAUGGUUGAUCUCCCCACAGACCAUACCAACAGGGCAAAGCCCUUCUACUGUCAUUGGAGUAUAUUGACCCAUCCCUGACAGAAAGUCUGUGUAAGCCCGAGGAGGAGGAACAUGCCGCAAACCUGCUGCAGAGCAUUAACAAGAACAGAAUUAAAAAGGAUCACUUCUGGGACUCAUCACACAACUUGGAAAUCAUGUUCAAUAAAAGAAAAGAUAAUUUGGGGCCACACUACCUGAAAUGAACAUCUGACACUCAGUCACUGGUCUGGAUUUAGAAAACUGCUUUGAUCCCCGGAGGGAAGAUUGUUAAUGAGUAUUUUAAAGGACAAGAUUGGCGAAGCAUGAUAGAGUGGAAAAGGGUACUGAUUUUGAAGGGUCCCAGUCUUGCUUCCACUUCUGUAAGCAAGUAGAACUGACUUUGAACAAGACACAUUACACUGCCCUGAGAAAACGUCCUCAUCUCUAACAUGGGAGGUGAAGUUAACCCUCUAGUCCAUCCAACAAUCAAAUCUAGGCCUUAAUGACUAUGAAAACAUGGGAAAAAAUUUAAAACAAGAGCAGGUAAUGCUUGCACCUUUUCGCUACCUGAAAGGAAGGUCAGACAACCUUAGUAUAAAAGGUAACUUUUCUUACUUGCAUGCUAACAAUCAAUGCAUAAUUUACAUAGCAAUGCAUACACUUUAUAUAGUUCAAGAGAUCAUCGUUGACUGCCUGAACUUGAUAUGCUUCAUCCUUGUCAUGUCCUCCUCACUAAAUACUAACUACCCAAAGUGAUCAAACCCCAAAUGUAAAAAUAAUCAUCUGAUAAAUCACAGACAACAAGGAGGUGAAAAAAAGAACUCAGUCAAACAUUUUUGAGUUCAUAAAAAAAUUGAAUAGCAUAAUCUACCACUAUGUUCCCAUCCCCCUGCUAAAACAAUAUUUUAUCACUCUGGCUUUAUUUAUUCCCAGUCCUCCCCAACAUACUUAUUUUCUGGAGCAUUUUAAAGUAAAUCUUGGAUAUCUUGUCAUUUCAUCCACAACUACUUCAGUCUUCAUCUCAACUAAUAAGGAUUUUUUAAAAACCACUACCACGACAGUAUUAUGCCUGACAAUAUUAAAAAAUUAUUUACUAUCAUCUAAAGAACCAAUCAAUAUUCAAAUUUCAUCAAUCAUCUAAAAAUUUUUUUUUCUUUCAGUUUUUGGCUUGAAUUAGCAUCUAAACAAGCUAAGAGGUGAAACUGAUUUCACCCAAUUCACAAUCCUUUGUCUUUUAAAUAUUUCUUUUAGACGCUGACAUUACUUAGACACAAUGUAUCUGGAACACAGAUAAUGUGAAGGUCAGCUUCAUCGCAAUAUUAUUUGAAAUGUCUUAUUCUAUGAAUCAGAUAUAAAUGUAGUUAAAGGCUCAGAACUGGAAAAAUCUCAAGUAAUUCUCAGUUUUCCCAAAUGCAUAAAUGAUUUAGGCAACCUUAAUGGAAUGCUUUAAAGAUAUUUUGCUAAAUCUUACACCAUUCCUAGGAAGAAUACCUCUGACAGACUUUAGCAGCUUUUAUUUUGCCCAUAUAAAAGCUGGAUUUCUUAGACCGUGGAGCAGCCUAACAGCACAGAUAGUAUUUUCAGUUGUAGUUUCACCUGCACCUUAAAAAGAAAUCUACCUGCAUAUGCUGGCAACGAGGACAUCUUUGAAAACAGAGCUAAGAGCCUCAAACUGUCAACUCCGACUUUUGGGAAGAAGGGAGGUGAACAGUUUCUCCAUUCAGCUUCCAUGAGGCCUCUCUGGUAACACACAGGCACUGCUGUGACUCAUAACCAGAAAUACUGUUUUAUAACACCAGUCUGUGUUUUGUAACACACACUGAAAGAAAAAAAAAACUAUUUAGAAACCAAAACCAAGCCCUACAUCUGGGCAUUGGUAUCAAGAUCUCAAGAUGUCAGAGUGGCUAUUUAAUUCAGAUAAAGUAGGCAAGUCCUUAUCCCUUUCCUUGGCAAGAAAGUGGAGGCUUCCUGCCUGCUGCACAUGCCCACAGGAGGAGCAACCAUGAAUUUAAUUUUCUUAAAACAGAAGCAUUUUCAGACUUGUGUUUUCCUGGACAGCUGCCUAGUGGCUGUAAUCCAUAAUAAGGGCGUGUAAUUGACAGUAAUGUGAAUCACUCACUGAAAUUCUGGCAAAAAAAAAAAAUAGAGGAGUUAUUUUUUUUUUUUUUCAGGAAAAAAUUAAAGAGCAGAUUCAUCCUGUCCAUUGAAAAUAGCAAUUACUUUACAUUUCAGCUCAUUAGCUACCUUUAUAUAAAAAAAUCACUGUAAUUUGUACUAACUAUCAGCAAGUGUUGUAAAGAAGUGGUGCAGUUGCACAAGGCAUGCAAUCGGAUGUGCUGGGCCAGGCACAAUCUGUAAAAUGGCAAAUGUAGAUGAGUUACUUGAUAUAGCAUACAUGGGAUUCCUGGCCCAAGAGUGAGUUACAGGACACUGUCCUAACAGUGAUUUUGCCACUUAAAAAGCUGCUAUCUGCCUGGGACCUUGUAAUUAUUAUGGUAAUACCCAGGGCAGACUGAUCAAGCUGCCAUUGAUGUCUAUGGGCAGUUUCAGAAUUCCUUUCACUCAGACACAGGGAUCUCCAAAAGAAUGGUUGGGGAUUUUCCCAGGUAGAAGCUGUUGGAACCAUGGAAACUUUGAGACCAGGUAAAGGGUUUCUCCCAUCUAUUAAUUCUCUUUGAAUAAGGGGAAGAAUAAUCUCAAUUAACUUCACUAUCAACCUGAAAGGGCCCCCUCUUUUCCAAGGCAGAGGCACGGGAACUAAACACUGGAAAGCUACGGAAGAUUUAAUUCCAUUUAGAUAAACCCUGACUCCAUCAGAACCCGAGAGGUUCAGAUAUUUUUCUGAAACUUCAGCACCUGUGAAACUAGCAGCCCUUGUCCAGAACUACCUGGUAUCUCAAGCUUCUGGUCCCAGAGGGAACAGGGGUAUUUUGACUUGUGAAAAUCCCACGAAUGCAUGGAGAAAAACUUGGGACUUUAGAAUGCUGAGGUCUGUGUUAGGAAGAUGUAUAUUGAACCAAAGAGUGGAAACACUUAACCUCUUUUUCUCAGUCAACCACACUCUAUGAAGAAGGCUUGGAUUUAUUUUCUCCUAUUGGGAUCUCCCAUUCUUAGAAGAAAAAUGGAAGUCAGAUUUCAUUAAAAUAGAGGUAAUGUUGGGAUUUUGAUGAAUGAAACUAAAAUUCAUUUUGUGCUUUAUCAUUAAUUAUUUCUGAGAAGCUUUUUCUCAUAUGACAACAGUUGGGGGAUGGUAUUAUUAGCUUAUGAUGGUUCCCAUCUUUGAUAGCCACCACUAAUCUCCUACUUAAUUCUGGCUUAAUUUGCAAGUAGUUGCUAACAGGCAAAAUGAGGGUGGAGUCUCAUAAACCACUAAAAAGAGAGACUUGCUAUGCAUAUAAAUAGGCCCUGCAAAAAUAUUUCAGAUACUGUAUCUCAAUUAUUAGACAGUAGCAAACUGUCAAAAUCUAAAAAGUAACAUGGAAUAUGUAUAACUAGUUCUUUGCAGGCAUUCUUUUUGUUCCUAUAUGAAUACAUUUUAUGUGAGCCCAAAUGGUUGGAAAUGUAUUAUUCAUUUUUAUAAUUGAGAAAAAUGUGUUAACGCUCUGGAAUGUCCAUGUGUGGAAAAAUAAAACGUUAUAUGGAAUUGCACACACAUAUGAUUUAUAAUGCAUGCUUCCAGGACCAGAAAUCCUAACGAAGAACCUUAUUCAACAGAAAAAAACAUUUUUUUUUCUUCAGUAUGUGCAAUUCUGGUAUACUGUAAUGCUGAGGCCAAGCAUAUAUUUUAUUAGUUUAAAUCCUAGCUAAGCAAUAAAAUAUGUGUCAUUUUAAAUAAAAGAAAACAUGUUUUUCACAAAAGCUAGAUU
rnacentral:lncRNA from 1 species